CCAAUGGGAUGUACGAGUAUGUUUCCAUCUAGUUCUUGGUCUUAUCGAGCUAAACGGACAAAUCUGCACUCUCUUUCCCUGUUACCCAUCUCGUUCUUCUUCUCUUUGAACAAAAAAGUUUUUCUCCUCUAAUUAUUUAUCACCAAUGGAGCUUAAUCACCACCCUCAUCUCAAUAUCAAAACCUUGUAUCAGCAGAAAUCAAAAGCAAACCCUUUUUCUGUAACCCUAAAUCUAGUUUUUUUGAUGCAUGAAAUCAUAGGGUUUGAGUAAUCGAAAGAUGAAAAUAUGACUUAAGUCAACUCAAUGUCAACUACGAUUUAGUUUUUACUUGAGAUUAUUGUUAUUUGAUUAGAUUAGAUUUGAUUGGUAUUGUUUAAAUCGAUCUCAAGAUAUAGAUUCAUCACCAACGACAUCAGUAGCAUUCCUUGCAGAUCUUUGGACAUCUAUGAGAAUUAUAAUCUUUUUAAAAAAACAAGAGAGUAUGUGAUCUGCAUUUCUCGGAAAUGGUGGAAAAUUUCAUUUCUAAGGUGGUGUAUAUUGUGUUUCGCAGGGAUAAAAGGGCGUCGAUUUUGUACUCGAGUUUGGAUCUUCUCAAGUUCAUUCAAUCUUUUAGCUGUAAUAUAACUUAUACAAUUAAUAUUACCAGGUUUAGUUAAUUUUUUGUGUUUAAACCUGUGAGAGGUGACCGUAACAAACUGCUAUGCACGUCCCUAUAUCUUUUGUGGUAGUUGUAGGUUGGACUUCGAACUGUAGAUAGGUUGGUGAAGGGUAGUACAACGUGCUCUGAAUGGUUAUAAUUCAUUUCAAUUGAAGUCAAGGCACAUCUUUUCUGGAGAAGUUAAUGGAGUUGUUGGAAGUGACAGUUAUAAAGUGAAAGAUGACAGACCUUCGAGAAUAAAAGUAUAAUGUUCAUCAUAUACAGAUGAUCUUGUAUCUUCAACUUACACAAGUGCAGCAACCAACUGCCUGCUCACAAAUAUUCUUCCAGGUUCAAAAGAGUCUGUCUUUAACAACAAAUAUAGGAGUAGUAUAAAGGAGAGUGGGUUCCCCGAAAAUUCCUGUUACUAUUGGUUUUUGAGGAACUUCAGGAAAUGAGCACUUGCAAAUGCAUAUGUUGAUAGCGCAAAGCCUCCAACCGUUGACGAUUUUGACCGCCAAAUUGAUGAAAUUGUGGAUGCAAGUGCGAUGUUACGCAGUAGAGAUGGCGUACUUGGAUAUUUUUCAGUAGGUUAGGUGGCCAAAAACUUGUGUAAAUCUUAUAGAAGAGCUACCAAAUUAGAGUGGUGAAGCUAGGUAACAGUUUAGUAAAUCGAAUUCAGUUAAAAAAUAUCAGUUUCAAUAUUUGGAUGUAAUUUCAAAUUGCUUAUGUUGUUUGAUGAAUAUACAUUUACUCUGUAAUCUGUAUUCAGGUAUUUGAUGUAAUUUUCAGUAAUUAAUAUAAAGUUAAACUCAUUUUAAAAA